CAAAUGCAUGAAUCUUGUACUUUCAGUUUAUGCCUUUCACAUAAUUUCUUAACUUUGGUGCUUCUCUAACUUUCGUCACUCAUGUAAUGUAGACUUGGGCUAAUUUUUUCUCAAAGAUUGAGCUGCGAGUUACAUCAAUUUGAUAGUAUCAGCUCACAACAGAAGUUGUUAAUCAUUAUAUUGCAGUUGCCAGGAACAAGAAGAGACGAAGUUGGUGUCUUUUACAUUUUAAGAGGAUGAGGAGAGAUGAAGAAAGAGUUUAUAGCGUUGGAUCUCUAGAGAGACACAAUUAUGGCCUUGGGUCCUACUUCUGAUCCUGAUGAACAUCACUCUCAAGCACCACUUUAGUUAGCUUUGUCUUUCUGACUCUAUUCUAUUAGUUGAAGAACAACUAUGAACGUUGUUGUUGCUUUAGGUUUUAUGUAUUUUUGGAUCUACUUGUUAAACUUUAAAUGACUGUAUGAAAUUAGGUUCUUGUAAUGUUAA